UGAGUGGCGAACGGGUGAGUAACACGUGAGUAACCUGCCCUCUUCUUUGGGAUAACGCCCGGAAACGGGUGCUAAUACUGGAUAUUCACUGGCCUUCGCAUGGGGGUUGGUGGAAAGGUUUGUUCUGGUGGGGGAUGGGCUCGCGGCCUAUCAGCUUGUUGGUGGGGUGAUGGCCUACCAAGGCUUUGACGGGCAGCCGGCCUGAGAGGGUGACCGGUCACAUUGGGACUGAGAUACGGCCCAG
rnacentral:rRNA from 1 species